GUUAUUUUACAAAAGAAGCUCAGAGGGCUCUUAUUCUUCCCUCUGCUGCAUGUGGAUGCCACAGAAGGUGCUGUCUAUGAGGAAGAGAACCCUCACCAAACAGCAAAUCUGUUGAUGACUUGAACUUGCACGUCCUAGUCUCCAGAACUGUGAGAAAUAAUUUUGUUUCUCAUAAGUGUUAUACAGAAGGUAAUGGAUUAAUACGGGGAUGUCCGGGAGUGCCACAAUUCCUUGUCACCUUUACCCUUGGCUCAAAGUAUCAAACUUUCAGAAGUGGGGAAAAUUCCCUUUGCCUCUACAGUUCGGCAUAGUCGGCAGGAUGAAAAAUUUGAAGACCUCAGUUGGGAUCCUUGGACAACUGACUACAGGCUGGCAAAAAGCGCAAGAUUUCUUUCCAAAAGUCAGCUCCCCAGAUCUCUCCCUGUAACACUUGGUCUAACAAGAGUAGUACAAGUCUUUGUCUUUUUCCCUUUCCAAAAUUGGAUUAGCAAGAAAAAAAGUAUGUGAACCGAGUUUGCUUAUAAAAUAAAUUGGCUACGUUUAAAAUAAUACUUUUUAGAGAGCUCUCAUCUUAAAUAGCUACCUGAUUGACACCUGUAAAAGAUACAAUAGAAACUCUGUUGGCAAGAUUAGGGGAAAAAAGUGUAAAUCAAAUUUAAAACAAAAUUAAAAUAUUUUGUAUGCUCAAAAUGCCUGAUUUGAAUCCCCUGAAGGGCUCAUAAAAGAAAAUGCUAUACAUAGUCUAGUGGUUAAGAUUCCAUUCCUUUACUAUUGUGGCCAGUGUUUGAUUCUUGGUCAGGGAACUAGUUCUCUGGUGGAAGAAAAAAUAAGGCCUUUAUAAGACUAAUUUUAUAGAACCAAUUAUCAAAACUUCGGAAGGAUGGGAAAGGAAAUUCUCUUUACUUCUACAUGUAUAAUACAUUUAAUUUCCCUUAGCUAAUCUCUGGGGAAAUGGAUCUUCACUCUGCCCUGAUUUGCCUUGAGUACAGCAUUUUUGUACAAAUGUGCGUCCAAAAAUAGUACUAUUUACCUCCAGUUAUUAGAACAUGUGCUUUGGCUUUAUGAAUUAUUUUGACUGAUAGAUGUAUCCCAUUCUUUUAUCAUUUCAUCUUUCUUAUGAUGAAAAAAUAAUGUUUUUUAAGUUUUAUAGAAUGAGGAGGAUAAUGAAUUAGUUAAAUGAUCUACUGCACACCUAAACUCUUAAGUCUCAUCAAUGACCUGAGUACAAAGGUAACUUAGCAGUAACUUGUAGACAAAUACAACUGUAGUCAUUAUCAUGGCAAUUUAUUUUGGAGAAAAAAUGUUUAUGGAAUUUUUGAAAAUAUGGUGGAAAGGGAACCAAAACUGAAGAGGCUGACUCCAAUAUACUUUAAGCAACCUGUAAAAACAGAAAUGCAUCCAAUAUUUAAGGAGUAAGCAGUGCUUAACAAUGAUGUGCUGACUGCAUGUUUCCAUACAUUCCACACAUUCUUCAUGUAUGCCAAGGUCAAAGACUUCCGAGAGGACAAGGCAUGGUGCAUUCUGUAAUGUAAUAUAAACUAAAGAAUGCCAGAUAAAUUCUGAGAAAGCAGCAAGAAGAUAGUAAUACUAAAGAAUUCCUAUUUUGUCCUUGCACAUAUGGUAGGUACUGCUAAUACCUUCCUGGCAUUUGUACCCUCCUUACAUUUAUUAACAGAACCUGACUUUUAUUCAUGUAAUUUGUUUCAGGAGCUCCUCCCCAGGUACAAAAAAAAAUCAUUAUUUAUAAAGUAGGGUACAGAACAAGAAGGGAACAGAUCGAGUUUAUGCAUGCUAUGACAUCAAUUCUGAGACCAUUUACCUUCUAUAUUUAUACUCUUGGAUAUCAAUGCUUGCUCUACAGCAUUGCCCUCUGUUUCUUAUCCUAUGUCAAGUCCUGACAUGAAAGUGACUAAUGCCAUACAUAAGAAGAAAAAAAAUAAGACCCAUGAGUGUAUCUGAAUUUUAAAUAUUUUUCUUUAUACCAUCCAUCUUCACCCUGU
rnacentral:lncRNA from 1 species